rnacentral:rRNA from 1 species
UACGUAGGGGGCUAGCGUUGUCCGGAAUCAUUGGGCGUAAAGCGCGUGUAGGCGGUCCGGUAAGUCCGCUGUGAAAGUCGGGGGCUCAACCCUCGGAUGCCGGUGGAUACUGUCGGGGUUGAGUACGGAAGAGGCGAGUGGAAUUCCUGGUGUAGCGGUGAAAUGCGCAGAUAUCAGGAGGAACACCAAUUGCGAAGGCAGCUCGCUGGGACGUUACUGACGCUGAGACGCGAAAGCGUGGGGAGCAAACAGG